rnacentral:rRNA from 1 species
CCUACGGGUGGCAGCAGUGGGGAAUUUUGGACAAUGGGGGCAACCCUGAUCCAGCCAUGCCGCGUGAGUGAAGAAGGCCUUCGGGUUGUAAAGCUCUUUCGGCCGGGAAGAAAUCGCUCAAGCUAAUACCUUGGGUGGAUGACGGUACCGGAAGAAGAAGCACCGGCUAACUACGUGCCAGCAGCCGCGGUAAUACGUAGGGUACGAGCGUUAAUCGGAAUGUGCGGGCGUGAAGCCUGCGCAGGGGUGUGAAAUCCCCGGGCUUAACCUGGGAACUGCGUUUGUGACUGUGGGGAUCGAGUGCGGCAGAGGGGGGUGGAAUUCCACGUGUAGCAGUGAAAGGCGUAGAGAUGUGGAGGAACACCGAUGGCGAAGGCAGCCCCCUGGGUCGACACUGACGCUCAUGCACGAAAGCGUGGGGAGCAAACAGGAUUAGAUACCCCUGUAGUC